GGGGACGUACCGGUUUCGACGGGGGUGCGGAAUCCGGGAUAGCGGGCCGCAGUGAGGACGCUGCGUUAAAAGCCUCAACUUGUUUAUAAAUUAAACAACGACAAUUAUUCUUUACAGGCUGCCUAAUUAGGCGAGCCCGUUCUGCCUGAGAGUAUCGCGGCUCGGGACAGAGCGUCAUUUAGCGGUGAACGUGCGGCGGGUAAGCUUUGCCCCGCCCAUGAAUGAUGAAGCUACCAACCCUGUAAGCCUGUCAUUUGGCGUGCAGCAGCGGGAAUUUUAAUAAAAUGACUGCGCCCGGAGAAGUCCUUGAGGAAGUACUUUCGGACAGGGGUUCGACUCCCCUCGUCUCCACCA
rnacentral:tmRNA from 1 species